rnacentral:rRNA from 1 species
GUAGGUGGCAGGCGUUGUCCGGAAUUAUUGGGCGUAAAGCGCGCGCAGGCGGUUCUUUAAGUCUGAUGUGAAAGCCCACGGGCUCAACCGUGGAGGGUCAUUGGAAACUGGAGAACUUGAGUACAGAAGAGGAAAGCGGAAUUCCACGUGUAGCGGUGAAAUGCGUAGAGAUGUGGAGGAACACCAGUGGCGAAGGCGGCUUCCUGGUCUGUAACUGACGCUGAGGCGCGAAAGCGUGGGGAGCAAACAGGAUUAGAUACCCUGGUAGUCCACGCCGUAAACGAUGAGUGCUAAGUGUUAGGGGGUUUCCGCCCCUUAGUGCUGCAGCUAACGCAUUAAGCACUCCGCCUGGGGAGUACGGCCGCAAGGCUG